GCUGGCAGGCUUAUGUGCUGUCUUGUUUUUAACCCAUCAGCUCUUGCCGGAAGCCGCUCGGAGAUAAAACAGGAAGUCCCACCCCUCCCUUAGAGAAGGAAAACGGAGAGCCGAAGGAGUCAAUCUAAAUACGAUGAGCACGUCGGGCUCGAAGGCAAGCGCUGUCAGCCCGGGAGGAGCGUCUGGGAUUUCUAGAGGGUCCCAGAACGGGUUCUUCCCGGGCCGAUCCCGCCUGCUUCCUGCCCUGUCCCUCCACCCGGCUCCCGCCCUCAGUAAGGGAUCCUGAGGGCGGCGCCGGAAACACGGAGACGGCCCAGAACGGCGCGGGACCCGAGAGGCCUACGCUGGCAAACGCAGCCCGCUGCCUCUCUGCCGGCUUCCCCGGGACCUGGAGUGGCUGCUGUCGCUUCUGGCGCUCCGAUUUCGAGAAAUGAUUUUCAGCUGUGCAAGGCGAGAACGCUACUUUAAAUGAUGAGAAAAAUCUCUCGAAUGGCUCCCAAAAUAAGGUCCUUGUUUCAGAGGCUACAGGAAGCCACCAGCCGAACUUUGAUACCAAAAAGGAGGUUAAGAAGCGGAAUGUGGCUUGGUGACCAGUUUGGUAUUUACAAACUUUCAGCUUUUAUUAAAGCUGAAACACCUUGGCUGUUUAAAACGUUCGACAAGGACUUUUUAUGAACGUUAACGGCCCAGCACACGGGCUUGUU